rnacentral:rRNA from 1 species
UACAGAGGGGGCAAGCGUUGUUCGGAAUUACUGGGCGUAAAGAGCUCGUAGGCGGUUCGACAAGUCGGGUGUGAAAACUCCGGGCUCAACCCGGAGACGCCACCCGAUACUGUCGUGACUGGAGUCCGGUAGGGGAGUGGGGAAUUCCUGGUGUAGCGGUGAAAUGCGCAGAUAUCAGGAGGAACACCCGUGGCGAAGGCGGUUCUCUGGGACGGUACUGACGCUGAGACGCGAAAGCGUGGGGAGCGAACAGG